ensembl:lncRNA
UGAUGACAUAUGAACCCAGAGAGGACAUGGCAGCAUGCAUAUGCCCUUAACAGGUUCAAGCCAGAUGGGCUCACAGCACUGAGAUGGAGAACUGAACACAGGGGCCCACCCAGAGCCAAGAAACUAUUUGCAAUUGAUACCCACUGCCAAAGGGAAAAUCAGUUUUCUCUAAAGGAGUGUCAACCACACUCCAGGACAGACUCCAUUCCCAGGAGUUCACACAAAAUGGACUCCAAAGCCCCAUAAGAAGACCGCAGACAGUGUGGAGCACCCCAAGUUCAGAGGAACAUUGACACCUUGGAAGCCGUCCAGAAGGGAACCGCAAAGCUGAGUUACAGGCUGUGAAGACUGGAGCAGUGGAGAGAGAUUUUCCACGAGGAUGCUCAGAUGAAGAGUGGCGACCCCGAGGUACGGAUGGCUCUACAGAACACAAAAAUCCAUGAGGCCUGGAGGAGCAACAGCUGCUGCGGAGGUCACUGCAGACCUCCUUUACUGUGACCUCUCCUUCCCCCAGUUCCUUCACAGCCAGUUGGAACAAGGGCAACAUGGGCCAGACCAUUGGAUCUAAAUUUGAAAGUCAAAUGAAAAUAGGUCAGAAAGAUGCUGAUGAGUGCCUUGUAAUUUUCUAGCUUUGAAGCCAAUCUCAUGGGAGCGGGGGGGGGGGGAUGACUUUUAUGUACAAUUUGAACAGUUUAAAGAUUCAUCUUCAGCUGAUGAAAUAUCUAGAGAAUAUUGUUUGUUUGUUUUCAUUUGAUAACAUGAGAUAGCACAAAGUAGUCACAGUUUCCUCAUCUGAAGAUUCUACCAAACACCAAUGAAACCAAACACAGACUGAAAAUAUAGAGCAAAAUAUUACAGCUCCAAUGCAUCUUUCUUGUCAUUACUCUGUAGGCAGCCAUGACUCUUAAAAUCUUCCAAACCGGUGUCCACUUCCUUGCUUUGGGACAUAAAUAACCUCAAAAGUUGCCUGUGUCAAAUGUGAUGAUGAGCCAUCAUCAUUCAUGAUUUCAUAUCUUGGGCUAGAAUGUCUGAUGACCAGCUCCAGACAGAUACAGGUUAAGAGGCCAGCAAGGUUCCAAUGAACAGUGCUUCCGCUAGAGCAGGGAACAAGUGAGCUCUAGCAGCCUCUUUCCUCAUGCUAAUCCACAUGAAGAUCUUCUGUUAGUCGGUCACAAAAGCCUGUGACUCAUGGGCACUGUGACUACUGUGAGACGAAUAGAAUAUUCUUUAUACUGAAGAAAGCCUUGAAUACACAUCAUCUGAGGACCACAAGAGGGAUUCAUGGGUAGUUAAAGGCUAGUGCCUUGCAGAUGACAGUAAAAAAGCUAAUAGUUGGCAUUAUGGCCCCCAGACAAUGGAAGCAAUGCUUAGGCCGCUCAUGGAGACUGAGUAGACUACACUUGUAGACACUUGUGGGAAGAAAAGCUCUGUAACCAUUAUCAAUCAAGUUGACCCACCCAUGAGACACUAUGGUGUUAUUAGGAUUGCUAGCCACCAUGGAUGAGCUCAGCUUGACAACAGGUCCUGGAUGACAGCUGUGUCUCACAAGCUUCCACUCUGCACAUGUGUUGUCUCCAUCUUCUCAAGGCACUCCACUCUUCAUAUGGGACUGCUUACCUGCUCAGCAAUAACACCACCAUAGUCUCUCCAGUGCCCAGAGAUUUUUAACGGAAGGAAAGCAUGAGGGCUCUUGGGACUCAAAACAAGAUGAAGCAAUGUCCAGAAAAGGAGAAAUGGCACGGAAAAUGGAAGCUGAGCCUUUGAGUCAAGAUGCUUAAGAUGGGAAGUCAGAGCUGCCUGGAGUCACCACUUAUGGAAGGCAUGAACCAUCAGGAACUCAACUGUGCUCUAAGGAGCCUAAACUACAUUGAAAAUAUCAACGCCAAUAUACAUACCUUCUGACCCAAUACUUCCACCUCUGGGGAUACUCAUAACAUUAACAGUACAUUGUAAAGUUCUCAGAGGACAGUUCACUGUUUUACUGAAGUGAACACAACACAAACAUCUAGUGGGGAUAAAUAAAUGGGACCAAGGAAUGUUAUAAGCAAUGCGUGUAAUAAGGUUCAGCUAUACACACUAAAAAGGAUCAGUUUCAUGAGCCUACUGUUGAGGAAAAGCAAGUGAUAGGAUUUGAUUUAUAUAAAAUCAAAGAAAGGUGAGAGAUGAACCUGUGUGGCUUAGGCGUUGUAAUGGGGUGGUAGCAUACAAGAAGAGGAAAAGUGGGCUCUCCAGAGAAGGGAGUGAGGAUGAAACUAAGAAUGGCCCCUGGAAUCCCUCAAACAGGUAGGAAGAGGUUCUGGGUGUUGGCCAGAUGUGAUGAUUCGUUUUUCAUCGUAGAUGUGAUUGGCUUUAGACAUAGCUAGGUAAUCUCUCUAUGCUUAUCUGUGAGAAUGUGUCAAGAAAUGUUUAACUGAGGAGAAACGACCCACCUUGGCUGUGAGACCCACCAUUCUGUGUGUUAGUGUCCUGAACUGAACAAACAGGAAGAAAAAAGAGGAAGUGUAUCUCUAGCGUUCAUCUCUCCUUCCGUGUCUGUGGCUGAAGUACAACAGGCUGCCUCCUGUUCUCACUGAGGUAUCUUUCCUGCAAGAUGGACUAGGUCCCUUCUUAAAGUGGGGACCAAAAUAAGUCCUUUCCCCUUGAGCUGCUUUUAUUCGCUAUUUUCUCACAACAAGGAGGAAAAUAACUAACAUGGAAAAUUGGUAACAAGGAGUGGGGUUGCUGUAAUAAAUGUGACUAUGGGGUUCAUAGGCCAUCAGAACUAGUUAGCAAGAAGCAUAUAGAGAAUUUAAAGAUGUGAGAAAUUUUAGAACUCGCUAAUCAGAGUUAAAUGGGCCACUCUGGCAGAAGUUUAGAAAAUGUGAAACAGAGAAAAAUACAGACAGUAGAAGUCUGGUUUCCUAGGAAAUAAGGACUCUAUCAAAAACCAUUCAUGUUUUGUGAUUCUGGAAAAUAGUCCAGUUAUAUCCUGUGUGUGCACUGAAAUUUUAAAUGAAUCUGAAUUUAAAAGCAAUGGAGAAGUUGUUUGACAGAGGACGUAUCAACAUAGCAUACUAUGCAAGCGUGGUUACAAGUCACUGACUGCUCUUAGCCAAAUCUACAGUGAAAGAGAGCAAAAAUUAGUGAAAAUGUGCAGUUUGACAAGUAAAGA